rnacentral:rRNA from 1 species
CUUCCGUAGGGUGAACCUGCGGAAGGAUCAUUACCGAGUUGAUUCGAGCUCCGGCUCGACUCUCCCACCCUAUGUGUACCUACCUCUGUUGCUUUGGCGGGCCGCGGUCCUCCGCACCGGCGCCCUUCGGGGGGCUGGCCAGCGCCCGCCAGAGGACCAUAAAACUCCAGUCAGUGAACUUCGCAGUCUGAAAAACAAGUUAAUAAACUAAAACUUUCAACAACGGAUCUCUUGGUUCUGGCAUCGAUGAAGAACGCAGCGAAAUGCGAUAAGUAAUGUGAAUUGCAGAAUUCAGUGAAUCAUCGAAUCUUUGAACGCACAUUGCGCCCCUUGGUAUUCCGAGGGGCAUGCCUGUUCGAGCGUCAUUUCAACCCUCAAGCUCUGCUUGGUAUUGGGCCCCGUCCUCCACGGACGCGCCUUAAAGACCUCGGCGGUGGCGUCUUGCCUCAAGCGUAGUAGAAAACACCUCGCUUUGGAGCGCACGGCGUCGCCCGCCGGACGAACCUUUGAAUUAUUUCUCAAGGUUGACCUCGGAUCAGGUAGGGAUACCCGCUGAACUUAAGCAUAUCAAUAAGCGGAGGAA